CAGGAACACAUCUGUGAUCAACAAAGAGAUUAUCUUGGUAGGAUGCCUGCUGAUGUUGGCUUUGAGUGACGUGACCUUCAACGCUUCCUUAAACAUGGACAUGAAAAGGAUCAGCUUCCAGCAGAUUAAGUGAAGUCAAGAAAACUACCAAGAAAAAAAAAUAAUAAAGGCAGUUUAACUUUGAAAGCAAUUUUACUCAAUAUUUCUAAUUUGCCUUUAAGACUUGUAAGAGCCUAGCUUAAAUAAACAGAUUUCUAGAUCAU
rnacentral:lncRNA from 10 species